rnacentral:rRNA from 1 species
CGGACGGGUGAGUAAUGUCUGGGAAACUGCCCGAUGGAGGGGGAUAACUACUGGAAACGGUAGCUAAUACCGCAUAACGUCGCAAGACCAAGAGGGGGACCUUCGGGCCUCUUGCCAUCGGAUGUGCCCAGAUGGGAUUAGCUAGUAGGUGGGGUAACGGCUCACCUAGGCGACGAUCCCUAGCUGGUCUGAGAGGAUGAUCAGCCACACUGGGACUGAGACACGGCCCAG